AUGCUUGCUUCAGCAGCACACAUACUGAAACUGGGACCAUACAGAGAAGAUUAGCAUGGCCCCUGCACAAGGAUGACACGCAAAAUUGUGAAGUGUUUCGUAGUUUU
rnacentral:snRNA from 1 species